GCUGGAAUGGUCUAGUUGGUUAUGACGACUGCCUAACACGCAGUAGGUCCCGAGUUCGACUGUCGGUUCCAGUA
rnacentral:tRNA from 1 species